rfam:Dipodomys ordii contig_34513, whole genome shotgun sequence.
ACCACUGAGCCACCUUCCCAGCCCUGAAUUCUUUUUUUUAAAUAUACUGUACAGAGGGGCUGGGAAGGUGGCUCAGUGGU